AGCGAACGCUGGCGGCAGGCCUAACACAUGCAAGUCGAACGAUCCUUCGGGAUAGUGGCGGACGGGUGAGUAACACGUGGGAGCGUACCUUUAGGUUCGGGAUAACUCAGGGAAACUUGAGCUAAUACCGGAUAAACCCUUAUGGGGAAAGAUUUAUCGCCUUUAGAGCGGCCCGCGUUAGAUUAGCUAGUUGGUGAGGU
rnacentral:rRNA from 1 species